rnacentral:tRNA from 3 species
GCUUGCUUAGUUCAUCGGUAGAACGUAUCCAUGGUAAGGAUAAAAGGCUAGUUCGAUUCUGGCAGUGAGCACCA